rnacentral:rRNA from 1 species
GCAAGUCGAACGGUGAAGCAGAGCUUGCUCUGUGGAUCAGUGGCGAACGGGUGAGUAACACGUGAGCAAUCUGCCCCUGACUCUGGGAUAAGCGCUGGAAACGGCGUCUAAUACCGGAUACGAGCUGCGACCGCAUGGUCAGUAGCUGGAAAGAAUUUCGGUCAGGGAUGAGCUCGCGGCCUAUCAGCUUGUUGGUGAGGUAAUGGCUCACCAAGGCGUCGACGGGUAGCCGGCCUGAGAGGGUGACCGGCCACACUGGGACUGAGACACGGCCCAGACUCCUACGGGAGGCAGCAGUGGGGAAUAUUGCACAAUGGGCGCAAGCCUGAUGCAGCAACGCCGCGUGAGGGAUGACGGCCUUCGGGUUGUAAACCUCUUUUAGCAGGGAAGAAGCGAAAGUGACGGUACCUGCAGAAAAAGCGCCGGCUAACUACGUGCCAGCAGCCGCGGUAAUACGUAGGGCGCAAGCGUUAUCCGGAAUUAUUGGGCGUAAAGAGCUCGUAGGCGGUCUGUCGCGUCUGCUGUGAAAACCCGAGGCUCAACCUCGGGCCUGCAGUGGGUACGGGCAGACUAGAGUGCGGUAGGGGAGAUUGGAAUUCCUGGUGUAGCGGUGGAAUGCGCAGAUAUCAGGAGGAACACCGAUGGCGAAGGCAGAUCUCUGGGCCGUAACUGACGCUGAGGAGCGAAAGGGUGGGGAGCAAACAGGCUUAGAUACCCUGGUAGUCCACCCCGUAAACGUUGGGAACUAGUUGUGGGGUCCAUUCCACGGAUUCCGUGACGCAGCUAACGCAUUAAGUUCCCCGCCUGGGGAGUACGGCCGCAAGGCUAAAACUCAAAGGAAUUGACGGGGACCCGCACAAGCGGCGGAGCAUGCGGAUUAAUUCGAUGCAACGCGAAGAACCUUACCAAGGCUUGACAUAUAGAGGAAACGUCUGGAAACAGUCGCCCCGCAAGGUCUCUAUACAGGUGGUGCAUGGUUGUCGUCAGCUCGUGUCGUGAGAUGUUGGGUUAAGUCCCGCAACGAGCGCAACCCUCGUUCUAUGUUGCCAGCACGUAAUGGUGGGAACUCAUGGGAUACUGCCGGGGUCAACUCGGAGGAAGGUGGGGAUGACGUCAAAUCAUCAUGCCCCUUAUGUCUUGGGCUUCACGCAUGCUACAAUGGCCGGUACAAAGGGCUGCAAUACCGUGAGGUGGAGCGAAUCCCAAAAAGCCGGUCCCAGUUCGGAUUGAGGUCUGCAACUCGACCUCAUGAAGUCGGAGUCGCUAGUAAUCGCAGAUCAGCAACGCUGCGGUGAAUACGUUCCCGGGUCUUGUACACACCGCCCGUCAAGUCAUGAAAGUCGGUAACACCUGAAGCCGGUGGCCCAACCCUUGUGGAGGGAGCCGUCG